rnacentral:rRNA from 1 species
UUGCCUACGGGGGGCAGCAGUCGGGAAUAUUGCGCAAUGGAGGAAACUCUGACGCAGUGACGCCGCGUAUAGGAAGAAGGUUUUCGGAUUGUAAACUAUUGUCGUGAGGGAAGAAAUUGACAGUACCUCAGGAGGAAGCUCCGGCUAACUAUGUGCCAGCAGCCGCGGUAAUACAUAGGGAGCAAGCGUUAUCCGGAUUUAUUGGGUGUAAAGGGUGCGUAGGCGGCCUGCUAAGUCUGGAGUGAAAGGUACCGGCUCAACCGGUACAGGCUCUGGAAACUGGCGGGCUAGAGAGCAGGAGAGGG